AAGGGGUUCCAGGCAGUCGGUUCCAGAUCGGAAGAUUGAUACCAAGUGCUGGCUAAUUGCUCUCUUUCUCCUUGUCCCAAAACAACGACAAGGAGAAGGACAGGGAGAAAUCAUGAUAUGAGAUACUCUUGCUUUCAACCUUCAUGAUAUGAAAUACUCUUGCUUUGGAUGAGUUGUUUGUAGUGAAGGGAAAUCUAUGAGAUUCAAGUAUGGGAUUUCUAUAUGACUAUCAUGCAUAUCCAAAACAAUUAUGAUAUACGAAAGCAGCGGAAGCAUUUAUAACAUAUUAUCAAAGCUAUAGUCAUGCAAAUCCCCUUCAAGGUUCAUAGGUUUAUAUAUAAUGCAUCAAAUAAAAUUUUAGAGAA
rnacentral:lncRNA from 1 species